UGGCGUGUCAAAGAGCUAGCGUUAUUUCUUUCCAGUUACCCCCUUCGAGGUUUCACAUGGAAUCAUCCAAAGCAUACAUCCGGGACCUUGCCCGUAGCACGUUCUCUUUCCCGUUCCACCAUCUUGGCAAGCCAUCUGCAGUCAAGAUGAGGGCCAAGUGGAAGAAGAAGCGUAUGCGAAGGCUGAAGAGAAAAAGGAGAAAGAUGAGGGCCAGGUCCAAGUAGGCAUCCUGCCUCCAUCCCAGCUUCACAAGUGGACCUGUCCAGGGUGGACUGUAUCAACACUGAACAUCAGAGGAGACCAAGACCAUCCUCAGUAGCCAGCCUUCCUGUGUGUGCAGCGACCGUACUUCCAACAAGCAGGCGUUCAGACGGACUUGUCAUUGCAGUGAUGCAACACUGUGGUUCCUAUCUGAAUCUUAGGAGCAGAAAGAACAGACUCUCUCCAUUGAAAACACAAACUGUGCUAGCCAGUUGAAGAUCGGUUCAAUUGUGUCACUUGUUAAUCUUUCUGCUUUGGACAGCUGUACACUUGUGAAUGCCUGACCUCGCUUACAGCUACUUGUAAAACCUUUUCAGCAAAAUCUAUUUCUUCUUUCCAAUAGAUGUUGAAUAAAGACUUCUGUUUUGCUGAC